GCAGUGACAUGUCUAACAAUGCUGACAUGAAGAAGAUUUAUUUACGGCAUGAAAACUUCUUCCAGUACAGAGUCCACCUCCAACCAAGCCAUAGAAACCACAUCCACACAAGGGAUUCCAUGAGCUUCCUGACCAGAAGAAUCUGAGCGAGAAACAAAGAGGACAGGCCAAGAAUCCAAAUAUGCCAUAGGCUGCUGAAAAGCAUUCAGAAUUCCUGACAUUUGGAGAAAUCAUAACAAAGAUAAAG